rnacentral:rRNA from 1 species
GCAGCAGGCACGCAAAUUACCCACUCCCGGCACGGAGAGGUAGUGACAAAAAAUAACGAUACGGGACUCUAUUGAGGCCCCGUAAUCGGAAUGAGUACACUUUAAAUCCUUUAACGAGGAUCCAUUGGAGGGCAUGUCUGGUGCCAGCAGCCGCGGUAAUUCCAGCUCCAAUAGCGUAUAUUAAAGUUGUUGCAGUUAAAAAGCUCGUAGUUGGUUUUGCGUGCCACGCUGCCGGUUCGCCGCCUGUCGGUGCAACUGGCACGCUGUGGCUCGUCCUGUCGGUGGUGAACGGGUCCCUGGCGGGUGUCUUGGGCUCCGGCCGAAGGCGCUGCCGUGGGCAACCGUUUUGCCGAAACCCUACCCGGUGCUCUUAAACGAGUGUCGAGGUAGGCCGACAAAUUCACUUUGAACAAAUUAGAGUGCUUAAAGCAGGCCUUGAUCCAGCCUGAAUAGUGGUGCAUGGAAUAAUGAAAUAGGACCUCGGUUCUGUUUUGUUGGUUUUUGGAACACAAGGUAAUGAUCAAUGUGGACAGGCGGGGGCAUACGUAUUGCGGCGUUAGAGGUGAAAUUCUUGGAUCGUCGCAAGACGCACUAGAGCGAAAGCAUUUGCCAAGUAUGUCUUAAUUGAUCAAGAACGAAAGUUAGAGGUUCGAAGGCGAUCAGAUACCGCCCUAGUUCUAACCAUAAACGAUGCCAGCCAGCGAUCCGACGUGUUCCUACUACGACACGUGCGGGCAGCUUUUUCCCGGGAAACCAAAGCUCUUGGGUUCCGGGGGAAGUAUGGUUGCAAAGCUGAAACUUAAAGGAAUUGACGGAAGGGCACCACCAGGAGUGGAGCCUGCGGCUUAAUUUGACUCAACACGGGAAACCUCACCAGGUCAGGACAUUGAAAGGAUUGACAGAUUGACAGCUCUUUCUUGAUUCAGUGGGUAGUGGUGCAUGGCCGUUC